rnacentral:tRNA from 1 species
UCCCCGAGCGGGCCGGUGCUCCCGGCCGGCAGCGCCUGCCGUGUGCUGGUGGCCCACGGGUUCCAGGCCGGCGCCGGGAA